rnacentral:tRNA from 1 species
GAACUUUUAGUUUAAAGAAGAAUGAUUCAUUUACACUGAAUAGGUUUAUAAGUUUU